CCUUAAUUCUUUUGCACUUCAGUGAUGGUGUCUCUGUCUUUGUCCUAGACGGGAAGAAGUUUUGCUGCAUUUAUUCAAACCCCAGAUGAAUUAAGGAUUGUCAAAGAAUGGGCAGUAGUUCAUGAAUAUUCUGUCUGAGAAAUGUUUAUGCCUCACUGUUGUGUAGUAUAAAUUAUAUCACCUAUCAAGUUAGGUUUGGAUAACCAUCUCAAAUUGCAUGUGACUCCGUGCAGCUAUUUACCAACUGAUAUCAAAUCAUUUGGAACUUUAGAUCAGAUUUGACAUAUUUUACUAUCUCAUACCUUCAAGCUUUUAUAAUGCAUGACAUAAGUAAUCAUUAGCAUCUCCUGGGCAAGAGCUCAUGUGUUUUGAGUCCACAAAGUGGUAUUAACACAGCAAAUAAGAUUUCUUUCCUCCAACCAAAGAACAGAUGACAACAGUAAAGCAAUUAGGUAUGUCCCUAAGCUAUAUGAGAAAAGGACAGUAACAGGUGCUUUUAUUAUUCUCCUUUUUGCAAACAUGGUAUUGUGCAUCAGUACUGAGUUCAGAUAUAGAUAGCAGUGCUCUUCUGAGAGUUAGAGGGAUCUUAUGUAAGGUAUAAAGGCUGAUAUAAUAUAUUAUUAUUUAAACUGCAUUAAACACCUAGAUCCCUGUUCUUAUUAAUAUUACUUGUCCUAUUUUCAUUUUUAGUUUUUCAAAAAGCCACUCAGGAUGAGACAAUACAGGAAAAAAAAUGCACUGGUCUGUCUGUUGGCAUGAUGUUUUGAUGAAAGAAAAAGAAAGGAGAGAAAGCAACUUUUUUAAAAAUAAAGACACAUGCUGAAGAACCCUAACCCUGGUGCAAAUCCUGAAGAUGCAUGCUGGCAGCAUGCAUUGUUCCUGUAAUAGAAAGGGAAAAUGCAGCCUUCUGCUUUCCUGGAGUUCACAAAGGCACAAUGUAUAUGCUUAAGGGGGCACUCUGCUGACUACUUUUUGGAAGUUUCUUACGCUUUCUGGCUGAAGGAUCUGAUCUCAAGAGACCCAAUAACCUGAUCCUCCACUACUGAAAUUGAGAAACACUUCUGCUGUUGUCAACAAAUGUUACUUGAAUCAGGAUUGGAGCCACACACAGCAGUUUGGAAAUUAGUCCUGAUGAUAC
rnacentral:lncRNA from 1 species